AGAGUUUGAUCCUGGCUCAGGAUAAACGCUGGCGGCGUGCCUAACACAUGCAAGUCGAACGCCCUUAGCAAUAAGGGAGUGGCGGACGGGUGAGGAACACGUGGGUCAUCUACCUUCUGGUGAGGAAUACCGGCGAGAAAUCGCCGACAAUACCGCAUACGCUGCGCAAGCAGCAAAGCUCGUAAGGGCGCCGGGAGAUG
rnacentral:rRNA from 1 species